AUGCAGUGGUUGGGCGACUCGGUGGAUAAGGAAGUGAAGUUGGAUUUGUGUCUUAUCCCGGUGGGGGGAGAGGUGGAGACAUUGACUCCGGCGACGGCGAGUGGGCGGUCCGGCGAUCUUGCAGGGGUUCCGCCGACCAUGGAAUUCUUGCUGCAGCCAAUAAACAGAACUCUGCUUGAGGAGGUCAAUGAAAAUAACGGGACAAUGGAGCCCGUGCGGUUCCCAGUGGCCACGCCGGCGGAGAUACCUGCUCCAGCCCCGGCCGGUUCAAGUGCGGACGGCCAGAUCUAUCGGCCGGAAGCGGCAGGCGGGGACAAGGCUCAGGGUCCGAGCACUCGAUAG
rnacentral:rRNA from 1 species